rnacentral:rRNA from 1 species
GAUGAACGCUAGCUACAGGCUUAACACAUGCAAGUCGAGGGGAAACGACAUUGAAGCUUGCUUCGAUGGUCGUCGACCGGCGCACGGGUGAGUAACGCGUAUCCAACCUGCCUCUGACCAAGGGAUAACCCGUCGAAAGUCGGCCUAAUACCUUAUGCAGUCGUCGGAAGUCAUCUGAUGACGACGAAAGAUUUCAUCGGUGAGAGAUGGGGAUGCGUCUGAUUAGCUUGUUGGCGGGGUAACGGCCCACCAAGGCGACGAUCAGUAGGGGUUCUGAGAGGAAGGUCCCCCACAUUGGAACUGAGACACGGUCCAAACUCCUACGGGAGGCAGCAGUGAGGAAUAUUGGUCAAUGGGCGGGAGCCUGAACCAGCCAAGUAGCGUGCAGGAUGACGGCCCUAUGGGUUGUAAACUGCUUUUAUGCGGGGAUAAAGUGAGGGACGUGUCCUUCAUUGCAGGUACCG